rnacentral:lncRNA from 1 species
AGCCCCGCCGAGCUGAGCGGGGCGGCCCCGGGUCGGGGUUGUGUGGUGCUGCGAGGCUCCGUCAGGUGCCUGCCCGUGGGCCUGUCGGGCUUCCAUCCCUCCCGCAGCACGGCUUGUGCUGCACCGUGGGCGUUCUGUCAGGAUUUGGUGCUUCUAGGUGAAGUUUCACAGAUGUCCAUCGAAUGGAAUCGGUGCAGAAAUACUGGCCUGGGUGUACGGGGAGACCAGCAGAUGUGAGGAUGGAUCCAUUGGCUUCACUGGGGUGGGAAAGAUGCUCAAGAAAAACGCUUGGGAACAUCACCAGCAUGAAGGAAAAGAGAGCAGAUCUGCUCCAUCUGUGUAGAAAUAACAUGUU